rnacentral:rRNA from 1 species
UACAUGUGGGGCAAGCGUUGUUCGGAAUUACUGGGCAUAAAGGGUGCGUAGGUGGCUUGUUAAGUCAGGGGUGAAAGUUUUCGGCCCAACCGGAAAAUGGCCUUUGAUACUGGCGAGCUCGAGUGCGUGAGGGGUAACCGGAACGAGCAGUGUAGCGGUGAAAUGCGUAGAUAUUGCUCGGAAGGCCAACGGCGAAGGCAGGUUACUGGUACGCAACUGACACUGAGGCACGAAAGCCAGGGGAGCAAACGGG